CCUACGGGGGGCAGCAGUGAGGAAUAUUGGUCAAUGGCCGGAAGGCUGAACCAGCCAUGCCGCGUGAAGGUCAGUGCCCUAUGGGCGUUAAACUUCUUUUGUGCGGGAGCAAUAAUGGUCACGUGUGGCCAGACGAGAGUACCGUACGAAUAAGCAUCGGCUAACUCCGUGCCAGCAGCCGCGGUAAUACGGGGGAUGCAAGCGUUAUCCGGAUUUAUUGGGUUUAAAGGGUGCGUAGGCUGUGAGGUAAGUCAGCGGUGAAAUGCCCCCGCUCAACGGGGUGAAGUGCCAUUGAUACUGCCUGGCUGGAAUGCGGAUGCCGUGGGAGGAAUGUGUGGGGUAGCGGUGAAAUGCAUAGAUAUCACACAGAACACCGAUUGCGAAGGCAUCUCACGAAUCCGCGAUUGACGCUGAUGCACGAAAGCGUGGGUAUCAAACAGGAUUAGAUACCCGUGUAGUC
rnacentral:rRNA from 1 species